AAACAUGAGAGUUUGAUCCUGGCUCAGGAUGAACGCUGGCGGCGUGCUUAACACAUGCAAGUCGAACGAAGCACACUU
rnacentral:rRNA from 1 species